rnacentral:rRNA from 1 species
GAUGAACGCUGGCGGCGUGCCUAAUACAUGCAAGUCGAGCGAACAGACGAGGAGCUUGCUCCUCUGACGUUAGCGGUGGACGGGUGAGUAACACGUGGAUAACCUACCUAUAAGACUGGGAUAACUUCGGGAAACCGGAGCUAAUACCGGAUAAUAUAUUGAACCGCAUGGUUCAAUAGUGAAAGACGGUUUUGCUGUCACUUAUAGAUGGAUCCGCGCCGCAUUAGCUAGUUGGUAAGGUAACGGCUUACCAAGGCAACGAUGCGUAGCCGACCUGAGAGGGUGAUCGGCCACACUGGAGCUGAGACACGGUCCAGACUCCUGAGGGAGGCAGCAGUAGGGAAUCUUCCGCAAUGGGCGAAAGCCUGACGGAGCAACGCCGCGUGAGUGAUGAAGGUCUUCGGAUCGUAAUACUCUGUUAUUAGGGAAGAACAAAUGUGUAAGUAACUAUGCACGUCUUGACGGUACCGAAUCAGAAAGCCACGGCUAACUACGUG